UUUAUCCACCUAUUUGUGUUGCCUUUUAUUCCGUAAGUAUGUAGUUUGUUUACUAGUAAGCUGUGGUUGACCUUAUCAAAGGCCUUAGCAAAGUCCAUUAUCAGCACAUCUGUUUGUUGUCCCAUGUUCAUGUUAUUAGCUAGGUCGUCAAUAAAUUCGAUGAGCUGAGUUUCACAGGACCUGCCUUUCCUGAAACCAUGUUGUA
rnacentral:lncRNA from 1 species